GCAUCAUGUAAACUCAUACUAAUUACUAAUAUAUUUUUAAAUAUAAAAGUAUAAUCAAUUUAAGCAUAGAGCUGAGGCUUUAUAAGUACUGUGGUCUCUGUAAGAUGAUUUACUAAGAUGGACCUGUCUCAAUAUGUGCUAAAACCAAUAUAAUAGCAUUUAGUGUUUUAAUAUUAAUUUGAGUUGGUAUUGAGGAAAACAUUGCCAUUCCCAUUUCCCCCCAAUUUUCCCACUACUUGUUAAUAAACGCGCACAACGUUGACCGUAGGGAGAGGCCCUUUUUGACCCCGUACAUGCUUCAAAUAAUGGGGUUUUAAAAACGUCUUGUGAAUUAGAGUCGUUUGUUGAUGGCUGUGAAAAGCCACAGUGUUACACAGCAAACAUGCGUUAUUAGUGGUGAAUUCGGCCUAGUGGGUUCUACGUAUUAUUAAAGAAUUUACGGUAAAACAGUUGGCGGCUAUUACAAAACCAGUUCGUGUUCUACAGCAUUUAGGCUUUGUCAACGUGCGGGCGUUUUGGUGCUAAAUGAACGAACUAAUGAGGUUGUGUUUACACACGUGGUGGCGCCGGUGGACACGAGGGGGCGCGUCGUACUUAUCGUUAGUGAACUUGGAGAGAGACUACAAACGCUACGAACUACUCCUUCAUUUGUGGCUAAAUGGGAGCCUAACAGGAACCCACAGGACAGCCGGUUGUGCUGCCCAGGGCCGAAGCUACCGUGCUUCAUCCUGUCUACGUGAAAGUAAUUGCUGCCAAGAAUCCCCAUGCUGGCCCUGGCAGCCCUUAUUUUGCCGAGGACGUCACUGAGCUGGAUAUUUCUGUCCUUACAUGGGCAAAUAUUCCAUCUUCGUCUGGUUCUGGUUUAAUUAUUUAAAUAUUUAUUAAUGAUUGUCAACAGCCAACCUUUUGAUUGCUCACUAAUAAUAACUGUAUUAUUGUGAUGAUUCUGUUUAUCCUCUCAGUUUCAAACACAAUGAUUAUUUCAGUCCGUGUACGAGUGACUCCAGCUUUUGGAAGACAUUGCUGUGCCAAGCAGUCGGACGUGGACGCUGCCUGUAGACAAACGAACAGACUCAUUAAAGUCAGGUGGCAGCAGUGCUUGACUGUGCAUUCAUGUCUGUGUCAGCAGGGUGAAGCUCAAGUCUAAUUCUCCCGCCAACGUCUAUCUGAUUGCACGAAGCAAAGGGCAGAAGUUCUCCCUCACCUCCAGCUCGCCGUAAUGAAAAAGGCUCAGAUUAUGAAAAUAACCCCCUCCCACUGCCUCUAACACAUCUCCGGAGCAAAUAGGGAGACCUUUAUUUCUCUGUUCCUUGCUCAGUUUCCUGUGCAGGUCAUUGGAGUGGCCUGGGGGUCUGGCAGAGAUGGAGGCGGCGUGGGCCUACGCAUGGAAAUUAGAUGGGGAUGAUUAGACGCCGCUCUGGACUCCGGUAGAGUUAUUGAAGAACUCGUCUGACUGACACUUUCCCUCAUUUCAGUUUGAUGAGAUGAAGAUGGUAGUGCAGUAAAUGGUUACAGAGUAGGAGAAGCAGAGAACUUGUAGCAAAUAGAAAAAUGAAGAGAGAGACUCGCUCACUGCUGUACUUUUUUCAACAGGUUAGUUGCUAAACUGCGUUGAUGUACUGCUACCUACUGCAAGCACUGGCAUUAGUUGGAUCUAAUUAGAUUGGAUGAAAUCUGUAAAUAAAUACUAAUUUAAAAUGCCGGUUUCCA
ensembl:lncRNA